rnacentral:rRNA from 1 species
UGUCAAGUCGGAUGUGAAAUCCCCGGGCUCAACCUGGGAACUGCAUUCGAAACUGGCAGGCUAGAGUCUUGUAGAGGGGGGUAGAAUUCCAGGUGUAGCGGUGAAAUGCGUAGAGAUCUGGAGGAAUACCGGUGGCGAAGGCGGCCCCCUGGACAAAGACUGACGCUCAGGUGCGAAAGCGUGGGGAGCAAACAGGAUUAGAUACCCUGGUAGUCCACGCCGUAAACGAUGUCGAUUUGGAGGUUGUGCCCUUGAGGCGUGGCUUCCGGAGCUAACGCGUUAAAUCGACCGCCUGGGGAGUACGGCCGCAAGGUUAAAACUCAAAUGAAUUGACGGGGGCCCGCACAAGCGGUGGAGCAUGUGGUUUAAUUCGAUGCAACGCGAAGAACCUUACCUGGUCUUGACAUCCACAGAACUUUCCAGAGAUGGAUUGGUGCCUUCGGGAACUGUGAGACAGGUGCUGCAUGGCUGUCGUCAGCUCGUGUUGUGAAAUGUUGGGUUAAGUCCCGCAACGAGCGCAACCCUUAUCCUUUGUUGCCAGCGGUCCGGCCGGGAACUCAAAGGAGACUGCCAGUGAUAAACUGGAGGAAGGUGGGGAUGACGUCAAGUCAUCAUGGCCCUUACGACCAGGGCUACACACGUGCUACAAUGGCAUAUACAAAGAGAAGCGACCUCGCGAGAGCAAGCGGACCUCAUAAAGUAUGUCGUAGUCCGGAUUGGAGUCUGCAACUCGACUCCAUGAAGUCGGAAUCGCUAGUAAUCGUAGAUCAGAAUGCUACGGUGAAUACGUUCCCGGGCCUUGUACACACCGCCCGUCACACCAUGGGAGUGGGUUGCAAAAGAAGUAGGUAGCUUAACCUUCGGGAGGGCGCUUACCACUUUGUGAUUCAUGACUGGGGUGAAGUCGUAACAAGGUAACCGUAGGGGAACCUGCGGUUGGAUCACCUCCUU